rnacentral:rRNA from 1 species
GACGAACGCUGGCGGCGUGCUUAACACAUGCAAGUCGAACGGAAAGGCCCUGCUUUUGUGGGGUGCUCGAGUGGCGAACGGGUGAGUAACACGUGAGUAACCUGCCCUUGACUUUGGGAUAACUUCAGGAAACUGGGGCUAAUACCGGAUAGGAGCUCCUGCUGCAUGGUGGGGGUUGGAAAGUUUCGGCGGUUGGGGAUGGACUCGCGGCUUAUCAGCUUGUUGGUGGGGUAGUGGCUUACCAAGGCUUUGACGGGUAGCCGGCCUGAGAGGGUGACCGGCCACCUUGGGACUGAGAUACGGCCCAGACUCCUACGGGAGGCAACGGUGGGGAAUAUUGCCCAGUGGGCGGAAGCCUGAUGCAGCAACGCCGCGUGCGGGAUGACGGCCUUCGGGUUGUAAACCGCUUUCGCCUGUGACGAAGCGUGAGUGACGGUAAUGGGUAAAGAAGCACCGGCUAACUACGUG